rnacentral:tRNA from 2 species
GGGUGUGUAGCUCAGAUGGUAGAGCAGUCGGCUUUUAACCGAUUGGUCAGAGGUUCAAGUCCCCUUACACCCA